ACCGCCCGUCACACCACUGGAAGCAAGCAACACCCGAAGCCGGUAGGCCUAACCCCUUGUGGGAGGGAGCCGUCGAAGGUGGGCUCGUGACUGGGGUG
rnacentral:rRNA from 1 species